AUUGAACGCUGGCGGCAGGCCUAACACAUGCAAGUCGAGCGAGCGGCGGACGGGUGAGUAAUGUCUGGGAAACUGCCUGAUGGAGGGGGAUAACUACUGGAAACGGUAGCUAAUACCGCAUACCAUCUGAUGUGCCCAGAUGGGAUUAGCUAGUAGGUGGGGUAAUGGCUCACCUAGGCGCCGAUCCCUAGCUGGUCUGAGAGGAUGACCAGCAACACGGGAAAUGAGACACGGUCAAGAGUAGUACGGGAGGCAGGAGUGGGGAAAAUUGGACAAGGGGCGAAAGCCUGAAGCAGCGAGGCCGGGGGUGGGAAGAAGGCCUUAGGGGUGUAAAGAACAUUCAGCGGGGAGGCGUUACCCAAAGAAGAAGCACCGGCUAACUCCGUGCCAGCAGCCGCGGUAAUAC
rnacentral:rRNA from 1 species